UUCUAAGUGGAUAGAUUUGUUUGCUUGCAACCACAUGAAAAAAAUGCUAAAUACAGUCAU
rfam:Dysgonomonas macrotermitis strain DSM 27370 genome assembly, contig: Ga0131167_115